CCUACGGGUGGCAGCAGUGGGGAAUCUUGCGCAAUGGGCGAAAGCCUGACGCAGCGACGCCGCGUGAGGGAAGAAGGCUCUCGGGUUGUAAACCUCUUUCAGGUGGGACGAAGCUACUCGGGUUAAUAGCCCAGAGGGUGACGGUACCGCCAGAAGAAGCCCCGGCUAACUACGUGCCAGCAGCCGCGGUAAUACGUAGGGGGCAAGCGUUGUCCGGAUUUAUUGGGCGUAAAGAGCGUGUAGGCGGCUAUGCAGGUCCGUUGUGAAAACUCGAGGCUCAACCUCGAGACGCCGAUGGAAACCGCAUGGCUAGAGUCCGGAAGAGGAGAGUGGAAUUCCUGGUGUAGCGGUGAAAUGCGCAGAUAUCAGGAAGAACACCCGUGGCUAAGGCGGCUCUCUAGUACGGUACUGACGCUGAGACGCGAAAGCGUGGGGAGCGAACAGGAUUAGAUACCCUUGUAGUC
rnacentral:rRNA from 1 species